rnacentral:lncRNA from 1 species
AAAAUAGUUUUUCCAUGGUCUAAAAAAUCACUUUGCGCCCAUGCAAAGUUUAACGCAUUUUUCACUUUGCAACCACAUUAUUCUUUAAAAAAUUUACUUUACCACCUAUUUUGACAUAGGAUUUUUUGAUAAAAUAACAAUUAAAUUAAUCAGGUUAAUAUUAAACUGGUUGAGCUAUCCAAUCAAAUAAUCAUAACUCGAACAGUAAACUUCGGAUCGACUAUCCAUGUUUAAAAGUUAAAAUAUCAAUAUAUUACAUUUUUCUAAUUGAAUUUUAGCUUUGAACAUCCAAUUUCAAUUUAUUAAGAGUUUUGUCUUGAAUUUUGACCACAUCAACUUCAACUCAUCAUUCAGCCAUCUAAAUUGAAGUGUAAAACUCAAUACAAUAAUCUAAAAAAUUUGAAUAAAGUUGGACAACCAAAGAAUUACGUUUUUUAUAAUUUGAGAAUAAAGUGUGUAAUUUAUACUGAACUUGUGAAGAUUAUAAAAGUUUAAUUUAUUUUAAUUAAGAUAUUGAACCGAAUUUGUUAGAA